rnacentral:tRNA from 2 species
CCUUCGAUAGCUCAGUUGGUAGAGCGGGGGACUGUAGAUUUAUAAUUGUGAUCCCUAGAUCGCUGGUUCGAAUCCGGCUCGAAGGA